CGCUUCCGGAAGUAAGUGCGGUCUAGCAGCUCUUGGGCACCCGGCGGCCGCUUUGUAGAGGCCUCGCUGACGUCAGAGGAAACGUCCCAGAUUUUUUUCCCGUUUGUUAACCAUUGCUACUGCGACCUGUUUUUCUUUCUUUCUUUUUUUUUUUUACUGUGAAUAGUGAAAAUUGCUCAGUCGUGUUCGACCCUUUGUGACCCCAUGAACUAUACAGUCCAUGGAAUUCUCCAGGCCAAAAUACUGGAGUGGAUAGCCGUUCCCUUCUCCAGGACAUCGAACCAGAGUCUCCCGCACUGCAGGCGGAUUCUUUACCAGCUGAGCCACCAGGGAAGCCCUUAAGCGUCCCCCCUCCUUUUUUUUUUAACUGAGUACCUUUUGUUUACAGUGCCUAUUGUUCUGUUACCUAUUAUUGGUUCUGCUCAGACUGGCGAUUGGCUAAUGGCGCCGUCAAUCUCCAGGGGAAAGGACUAAGUUUCAGACACCUCGGAAAAAUUACUGUGAGCCCCUUUUUGCUGAAAUGAAAAGUUCUGGAGAAAACCCAAGAGAUUCGGAAGAAAUGCUUUUUGUCUGCAGCAUGAAGCGAUUUAAAAGUACUGGGUGUUCAAUGUGAGCUUCUAAUGAAAUUUGGGCUGAAAGGAUGACUAGAAGAUGACUAUUAAAAUCUCUCCUGUAACCUAGUCUCUGGACCCGGAUCCCUCCUCUCCAGUGAGACUCUUUGAGGACCAAUCGCGAUGCCCUGCACCCACUGCGGAGCCAUUGAGUUGGACAGUGAGGGCGCCACAUCCCUGACAGACAGCAUAGUGCAGCUCUGACAAAGGCCUUAUUUUUCUGAUGUAAAUCAUCUUUUUACAUCUGUUUGUAAACAUGUUUAAAGAAUGGACCUAGGCAUACAUUUUUAGAUUUUGAUGACAUAGCCAUUUUGGAUAGUAUAAGCAGCAAAUGUAACUUUUACUUUUUCAGCAGCACAUUAAAAAAGCCAGCAAGAGAUGCGUUCAGAUCAUGGUGCCUUAUUAUGCAGCUGAUAUCUUGGUAGACAGAGACGGCAUGUCUCUUUACAUGUGCGUUCUGCCUUUAAUUUCCUUGUACAAUUCAUUGUUAUCAUUCUGUUUUUCUAUUAAUCUUUUGUGAACUUCCUGAAUAUGUGACAAAGUAUGUACAGUCUACUUUUGAACUAUUUUUAUUACAGUAUUAUUUACUGCUUUCUUUCAAUAAAGUACUGAAGCAAAAUUUCCCAC
ensembl:lncRNA